CCCCCCACUGGUCUUCUAAGCAGAUUGAAGCUGCUUCAUCUUACUCCUGAUUCAUCUUGAUUCUCUUCAGUGGUUUGUUCUUGCAUUAGUGAUGUAAAACUGCCCCAAAUAGGUUUAAAGUGGUCAGAACUUGCUCUUGACCAGUUCAAAUAUUUUCUCACAAGAAAAAAUCAGUUCUGACCAGUUCAAAUCUAUUUUGACCAGUUUAAACUCUGCAGAGCUGGAGUCUGAUGUCGGUAAACCCAGGAAGAUGGCUGAAGAUGAUGCUGAUUCAAGCCAAAGCAAGGAUUCAGGCAACAAAAAAUGACAUGCCAUCAUUUCUUCAAUUUGAUUUCCUUGAUUGCAACUGGAAAAAUGGAAGUGUUUUAACAAUAAUGUUAAUAUUGCAUUGUCUGCAUAUAUAUAUCUAUAUAUACAGAAACACAUGUAAACAAGCUUAAUCGUGAGAAAACCAUUGGAAAAAUCCCAGUUGAGGAGAAUUCUAUGAAAUACUUGACCAGUACCUCAAAUCCAUCAAGGUCAUCAACAAGGAAAAUCUGAGAAACUGUCAGAGCCAAGAGGAGUCUAAGAAGACAUGACAACUAAAUGUAAUGUGGUAUCCUGGAUGGCAUGCUGGAAUAGAAAAAAGGACCUUAGUGCCCAGAAGCUCUACUCUCUGGAGAUGCUCAGCCCAUGGAGUGAUGUCUGGGGUCUGAGGUGCUGGUGCUGAUGGGGAGGAAAGAGCUGUUUCCUGCUUCCCAGCUGCUAUGCCUGUCUCCAUCGUCAGAACCUGUGGGCUGCACACACAGGAGCAUAUGCAGUCUGGUGCAGCCUUCUUUCCUGUUGCUCUUUAAGGAUUAGUUG